ensembl:lncRNA
AAAAAAAAAGAAGAAAAUAUAUAUAUAUAUGUAAGAGCUUCAAAAUACGUGAAAUAAAAAUUGACAGAAAUGGACAGAUCCACCGUUGUGGUUUGAGAUUUUAAUACCUUCGUCUCAACUGUUGAUAGAACAAUGAGAUAAAAAUAAACCAACAGCAAACCAGUAAAGACGUAAGAAGAUCUCAAACACACUAUUAACCACCUUGACCUAAUUGACGUUUUGGACCCUGCACCCAGUUUCAGAACACGCCUUCUUUUCACCAAGAUAGACCUCCUGCUGGGCCAUCCGGCAGGUCUCCCUACAUUUAACAGGACUGCAGCCAUACCAGGAAAACAAAAGACUUAGACUAAGUAUGUUUCAGAAAUAAACAGCAGAGGAAGGAUAACAAUGACUCUUUCGCAAUUAAAGCACUUCUAAGUAAUCCGUGGGUAAAAGAAGAAACCAGGAGUUCCUGCUGUGGCACACAGGGUUAAAGAUCCAGCAUUGCCUCAGCUGUGGCCCAGGUGGCAUUGCAGCCCAGAUGCAUUCCCAAGCCUGGGAACUUCCAUAUGUCUCGGGUGCGGCCAAAAAAAAAGAAGAAGAAAACACAGAGGGAAAUAGAAAAUAUCUUGAAUUAAGAGAAAAUGAAAACCACAGUGUGUCAAAGUUUGACUGGCACCUAAAGCGGUGCCAAAGGAGGUGUGUCUCUGAAACCCUUUGAAAAGGGAUGUUCGGCAUUCAGUGCUUCCAGCCCUCUGGUUAGGACCGAUCUUUCUCUUGCCCUGUGCUCGGUAUAUUUGCCUCGAUAGCAGUAGCAACUGUUGGACGCACCCCUCUGCUCACCUAUCGGUCCCUUCCUUUCUAAACCUUAAGAGCCCUUUAAGGACAAGUGCUGCUGUUGCUGGCACUGUUUUGUCUCUCGUUUCUAGCACAAUGCAUGACACUUUGUGGGGUCUCUGUGAGCUCUGCACGGAAGCUCGCGAGUGGAGCGGAUGCGCCCGAGCGCCGGGCGAGGGUUCACAGACUGAGCAUCCACAGCCCCACCUUAGAGCUGAGAAAGCAGCCGCCCGGCCGGGGUCGGUGGAGCCAGCGACCAACCCACGUUCCCGUUGGUCCUCAGACGUUUUCCUUCCAGCCCUGAGGUGCUGACAGAAACCUCACCGGGGGUGGUGAGACCCGUCUUCCAGCCGGAGGGCAGGAUUUAUUCCUGAGUCAAACGGGAAGCCUCAACCGGCUGUCAAAAGCAUCGAGUCGUCUGUGGGCUCUGCAGGUUGGGCCAGGGGCCCCUUCCACAAAGGCCCUGGGAGGACAGGGCUGACGGCUCUCCUGCCGGGGGGCCCCCCGCCUUUCCCAGGGCCCACUCAGUCUGCAGAAAGUGCUGGAACUUGAGGCCUCAGGCGCGGCCCCACGGGGAGGGGGCGGGGGCCCUGCACCACGAGAGCCUCUCGUUUCUCUAUUUUCUACCUCGGUUUCAGUUCUUAACUGGCGUUUGUUUCCCCUUUGUCUCUGGUUCAUCUUCCUUUUCCUGUUUGGCUCUAAGCAGAGCCUCAGCGUCACGUCGCUGCCUCCCCGGGGUCCGUGGCCCUCUGGUCAGCGGGCCCAGUGGGAUCCACGACCCACCGCCUCGCUGCUCCGUGCCGCAGCCACGCAGCCAUGGCCACCGUGUGAGUAUGGGGACCGGGGGACAGGGGCGUCCGGAGGAGACCUGGAGCCGUGAUAGCAGAGAGCCGAAGGCCCUGGAAACCCUCCCAGACCCGCAGGUUGCACGCAUGGGGAGACCAGCUGUCACACCGCAGGUCGUGCGGAGCCCGCGCGCGCUCAUCUGCGGGUCUGGCCGCCACACCGACCGGGGUCCCUCGAUGGCUGUUGUCUUUAGGCACUUUGUGUGCGUGUGGAAAGCGCCGCCUCAGAAGUCCAGGUGGCAGAGGGGGCUCUGAACCAUGUGAGGGGGUUGGCAUUCGGCUCAGAGGUGCUCCGAUGGGUCCUGGGUUCUCUCUGGGAAUGGCCUGAAGACACUCGAGCGGUUUUCUCUCAAUACUGGGCAGGAGGGAAGAAGUGGGGUACGCUUUGUAGUGGAAACUUCAUGGGCCGUAACAGCAGGACCCCAAACGUCUGCUUUAGACACCUGUGGCUGACUUUGGGCCACCGGUCACUUAGACUGUUGUGGUUUCACGUGCGUGUGGGCACCAGCCUGUUCGCGUCCUGCACAUGUAACUUCUAAAAGUGAGAUUGCGUUUUAGACAUGCCUCUCCCUGCCCUGCAGCUCCAUGAAAGACAAUGGGCCACAGAGCAGGCUUUCAUCCCCUGGAAUCGGGGGCAUUUGCCUGGUCCACUCCUUGCAGCUUUGCAUCUUAGCACAGAAUUGUCAUCCUGCUCCUUAAAGUUACUUCCCAGUUCCCACACUGCAGUUUGACCCAUUCCCUUAUCUGAUGCUUCCAGCCUUGUUGGGUGGGUCAGCUCAGGGAGGGGAUACUGGUGUCCUGUGGAGGAGGAGGCCUGGCCUCUGACGGGCCAUGGCGCUUGCUCAGGGUUGCUUAGGAGGAGAAGCUUCCAGGACAUGGGCCAGGCUCUCUGGGAGUGCCUUGCAAUGCCUUGUGAAAGUGGAUGGUGCGGGGAGUAGGGCUGGUGCCAUGCUCCUGGUCAGCGGGGGAGCUCUGGGGAGGGCAGUGCUCCCGCCUCAGAGCGCAGCCUUGGCCAGGUGCUGGAGUCACUGCCUCCAGGCCCAGCGCUCAUAGAGCCAGGGCAGGUGCUGUGUUUACAGUUGGCUCUGUUCCUGCUCCCUUGCGGCCAUGUUUCCCAUCAUUUUAGUCAUUUUCCUUGAGCCUUAGAAGGUUUGUGGGUGGAGCUGUGGAAAACAAGACUUUCCAUUUCAAAGGCUUGUUACCUUCCAAAGUGGGCAGGAACCAGUCAUCUUCAGCUGAAAGUUACACCGUGAAAAGCACAGUGUAUCCUGUCAGCUGCCAUUGCAGAAAAUACUGUCAGAAGUAAGCGAGGAGGAAGCAAAGCAGGUGUCAAAAAUCCUUGAAUUAAAAGUGUGGAAAUCUUGGAGAGCCCAUUGUGGCUCAGUGGUUGGUGACCCCGACUCGCAUCCAUGAGGACACGGGUUCGAUCCCUGGCUUCUCUCAGUGGGUUAAGGAUCUGGUGUUGCCGUGAUCUGUGGUAUAGGUUGCAUAUGCAGCUCGGAUCCCACGUUGCUGUGGCUCUGGAGUAGGCGGUCGGCUACAGCUCCGAUUCGACCCCUGGCCUGGGAACCUCCGUAUGCCACGGGUACGGCCCUAAAAAGA